UCUAACAUCAGAUGGAGUCCAUGAGUGUGUACAGAAAGUUCAUGAUUGAGGACUAAUUUGCCAGAAAUAUGUUCAGUGGGUCUAAUAUUGACUUCUGUAUAGGUGAAGAAACAUCAGAAGCAGUGAAUAGAAAUUUAUAAAAAGUUCAGAUUCAAAUAAUAUUGGGCCAGAAAUAUAUCCAUUAGGUCAAAUACCCAAUACUCUAUGGCUGACAUAUCAUCAGAAGGAGUCAAUGUGAAUGUACAAAAGAUCGAGAUCAAGUUCAAGAUCGACUACUCUUGGGCCAGAAAAUUGUUCAUCAUGUCAAAUAUGGACUACUGUCUACCUGAUCUAACAUCAGAUGGAGUCAAUGAGUAUGUAGAGAAUGUUCAUGAUUGAGCAUUAAUUUGCCAGAAAUUUGCUCAGAAGGUCAAACAUGGGCUCAUGUAUGGCUGAAGUAACAUCAGAGGGAGGCAAUGAUUAUGUAUGGAAAGAUCAUGUUCAAGGACGCUUUGGACCGAAAAAAAAAAAAAGUAAA